AAGAAAAGGUAUGGCGGAUGCCUGGCACAGAGAGCGAAGAAGGACGCAGCAACAGCAAAUGUGACGGUUAGCAGUGAGCAUGGCUUAUCUGUGGAUGUCUGAAUAGGGGAACCCCCCUGGAGUAGUAGUCCAGCGUAUCCUCAAGUGAAUAUAUAGCUUCAGAGAGGCGAGACUCAGGGGAACCUGAAACAAUCUAAGGUCCUCAGGAAGGAGAGGAGAAAAUAACACGAAUGAUUCCCUAAGUAUCGGCGAGCGAAAGGGGAAGAGCCCAAACCGAUCUUAGGAUGGGGUUGUAGGACUGUCGGCAAAGAGCAAGAAAUCAUUAUAGGCGAACGGAAUGGGAAGUCCGGCGAAACAGGGUGACAGCCCCGUAGCCGAAAUAGUGAAGAAGCACGAGACAGCACCUGAGUACGGCGGGACACGAGGAAUCCCUCCUUGUCGUGAAUCCACCAGGACCUUCUGGUAAGGCUAAAUACUACCUUCUGUGACCGUAUAGUGAACCAAUACCGUGAGGGAAAGGUGAAAUAGACCCCCGGGAAGGGGAGUGAAAUAGAUCCUGAAACCGUAUGCUUACAAGAAGUUAGAGCCCGUUAAAGGGUGAUAGCGUGCCCUUUUGUAGAAUGAACCGGCGAGUUACGAUAUGGAGCGAGGUUAAGCAGGAAUAUGCCGGAGCCGAAGCGAAAGCGAGUUUUAACAGGGGCGAAAGUUGCAUGUCGUAGACCCGAAACCGAGUGAUCUAGCCAUGACCAGGUUGAAGUUGGGGUAAAACCCGAUGGAGGACCGAACCGACCCCCCGUUGAAACGUUGUGCGGAUGAUGUUGGUGGCUAGUGGGUGAAAUUCCAAUCGUAACUCGGAGAUAGCUUGGUUCUCCCCGAAAUAGCUUUAGGGCUAGCAGUCGUAGUGUAAAGUCAGUGUGAAGGUAGAGCACUGUAAUAUGUGAUGGCCCCAUCUCGGGGUACUGAACAUAAUCAAACUCUCGAAUGUGCACAAAGAUAUACUCGGCAGUCAGACAGUGGGUGAUAAGGUCCAUUGUCAAAAAGGGAAACAGCCCAGACCAUCAGCUAAGGUCCCAAAAUAUAUACUAAGUGGAAAAGGAUGUGGAGAUGUCCAGACAACUAGGCAGGUUGGCUCAGAAUGCAGCCAUUCAACCUUUAAUAGAGUGCGUAACAGCUCACUAGUCGAAGUGACUCUGCGCCGAUAAUUUAUCCGGGGCUAAGUAUAUUUACCGAAGCUAUGGAUUUACGCGUUAAAGCGUGAGUGGUUAGGGGGAGCGUUCUAUGUGCGGAGAAGCGGUACCGUAAGGAGCCGUGGAGCGCAUAGAAGAGAGAAUGCCGGUGUGAGUAGCGAAACGUGGGUGAGAAUCCCACGCCACCGAAAACCCAAGGUUUCCAGAGGAAGGUUCGUCCGCCUCAGGGUAAGUCGGGACCUAAGGCGAGGCCGAGAGGCGUAGUCGAUGGACAACAGGUAGAGAUUCCUGUACUUACGGUAUGAAUGAUGGAGUGACGGAGAAGGCUAGCGGAUCCUGCUGAUGGAAAUGCAGGUGCAAGCGAGGGAGCCGCCAGCCAGGCAAAUCCGGCUGUCGAAAGGCCAUGGCGCUGAGGCGUAUGGAAAGCUGCGGCAAGUACAGAAGUCCGUGAAGCCAGCUUCCAAGAAAAGCUUCUAGUGAUAAUCAUACAGUAACCCGUACCGAAAAUGGACACACAUGGGUGAGGAGAGAAUACCUAAGGUGAGCGAGAGAACUAUAGCUAAGGAACUCUGCAAAAUGACUCCGUAACUUAGGGAUAAGGAGUGCUCAUAGAGAUAUGAGCCGCAGUGAAACGGCCCAAGCGACUGUUUACCAAAAACACAGCUCUAUGCUAAGUCGAAAGACGACGUAUAUGGGGUGACGCCUGCCCGGUGCUGGAAGGUUAAGAGGAUGUGUCAGCGCAAGCGAAGCAUUGAAUUGAAGCCCCAGUAAACGGCGGCCGUAACUAUAACGGUCUAAGAGGGAAUUCCUCAGGUAAGUUACCGCCCCAAAGAGAGCGAUUUGUGGUGUUCAUCUGUAGAUGGUGAAGUAUUAGUACCUGUCAAGAGCAGGUUACCCCCCCUAGACGGAAAGACCCCAUGGAGCUUUACUGUAGCUUGAUAUUGGAUUCUUUGAUGCAAAGAUGUACAGGCAUAGGUAGGAGUAUGAGAGACAUGCACGCCAGUGUGUGAGGAGUCAAUGUUGGGAUACUACUCUUCCUUGUAUUGGAGUUGCUAACCGGAUGCCAUGGAACUGGCAACGGGCACAGUAGUCAGGUCGGGCAGUUUGACUGGGGCGGUCGCCUCCCAAAGAGUAACGGAGGCGCCCAAAGAUACCCUCAGCUUGGAUGGAAAUCAAGCGCAGAGUGCAAAGGCAUAAGGGUGUUUGACUGCGAGACCUACAAGUCGAGCAGGGACGAAAGUCGGGCUUAGUGAUCCGGCGGUGCUGAAUGGAAAGGCCGUCGCUCAACGGAUAAAAGCUACCCUGGGGAUAACAGGCUGAUCUCCCCCAAGAGUUCACAUCGACGGGGAGGUUUGGCACCUCGAUGUCGGCUCAUCGCAUCCUGGAGCUGAAGUCGGUUCCAAGGGUUGGGCUGUUCGCCCAUUAAAGCGGUACGCGAGCUGGGUUCAGAACGUCGUGAGACAGUUCGGUCCCUAUCUGUCGUGGGCGUAGGAAGUUUGAGAAGAUCUGUCCUCAGUACGAGAGGACCGGGAGGACAUAUCAAUGGUGCACCAGUUGUCACGCCAGGGCACAGCGGUAGCUAAAUAGGAAGGGAAAAA
rnacentral:rRNA from 1 species